CUUAUUAUUUAGUGCUAAGGAAUACUUUUAGGUGAAUACACGGAGGACAAAGUCUGCUGCUUUUGCUCACAGGUGUAGGACUGGAGCUCCCUGGUCACGCCCCCUCGGCUCAUGCAAAGAUUAAGAUUUACUUUUAUUUCAGUUUUUACACUCUGUAAAUCAUGCAACACACACAUAGGCUGACAUAUACACACGCACAAACAGGAUCCUAUGGACAUGCACUAAUGGAGAGACCUCAGGGUGACGUCACAGCGGGCGCUCCUGAGGUGGUGGUGGGGAGGGGGCUCAGGAGGUGAUCUGGCACCUCUCCAGCUACCAGAACAACUUCCAUAUUUGGUCCGCACCAGGACUUGAACCGGUGACCCUCUGGUUCCCAACCCAAGUCCCUACAGACUGAGAUACUGCCACCCAGACAUUUGCAAAGGAUAUGAUGAAGAGGGAGGUGGUUGGAGUUGCAGGGGAUCCCCCACCCUGGAUUCUUCAGCCAAUUCUCCCAGCUGGGUCAUUCUCACGAAACCAGUGAUCUACUUAUUUUUAUUUUUAAUUAAAACAUUUUUUUAAAGCCAACUUUUAAAAUAAAUUAAACUUACACAAUGA